GGAAAAUCAGUGCUAUGCGAAUCUUCCCUUGCCCUCCCCUCAAAAAGAGAAAAAAGCAGCCCUAUAUAAGAACUUCACAUUUGGGGAGAUCUUUAUGCAGUUACUGUAUUGCAUUUUUUGUGUGAGGUUUCCUAAUCACCAGACUUCCAUCAGUGGCAGGUAGACUCAUUUCUUGAAUCAAGUUUGUGAAAUGCUACGUGACCUGGCAGGUUACAGCUCUAGAAGUAAAAAAAAAGACCUUGCUGGUAAACUCACUGUACUUCUCACUGUGAGGGACAACAGAAAAAAGGUGACCCUGUGGCUCAUGUUAGGCACAUAUGUGUACAGAUUUGUACAGUCAUUUAAUUAGUUUUAUCAUAGGCAUCCUGUGGAACGCAGAGAUUGGUUAUGAAGGCCUUAAUACAGUGUGUACCCAGAAAACCAAGUAGUGCAGCAAGCACACUCUUCUGCAGAUAUUUGAACCUCUAUCUUCCUUUCAUGGGACUUCAGCAUAACCAGCAUGCUGCCAGCCCAUCUCACACCUGCUGGGCCGGGCUUUCAUCUGCUGCUGUUGUUAGGCAUGGACACAGCUGGGAUCCCACAGAGACUCAGACACCCAAAGUGUAUGUCCACACCACACACGUUGAGUAUGGUGUUUCAGCUGAAGAUGCCAGAUGGAGCAGGGCAGGGCAAUCAAGAGGCAAGAGCCAAGACUGACCAGCUUGCAGCAGCCACCCACCCCUGCACAUGGCAGUCUGACUGCUCCCACUGCCAGCUCAGCAGUGACUCCAGAACCCAGGCGUCAGGGAGAAUAACAAAUGUUGCUGCUAGUGGUAAGUUUUAUUCUGUGAGAAAAGGAAACACAAAGGGUUUCUCUGGGAGGGAGUGGCUGAUAGCCAAUUGCCGGAUGUUCAAAGAUAUUCGAGGCAAACUCUCACCUCUCUCCCUCCCUCUCUGAGAUGAAUAUUUUGACCCCAGCCUGAGCUUCUAAGCACCUCUCUGCUAAUAAGAACAACAGUAUUUCCUCUGGAUUUCCACAGUGUGCACAUGUGUCAAGUAUCAAAGAAAAGCUGGCAGCCAUACUCUCAUAGCCUACAACAAAAAGGAAGCGGGAGCAAAGAAGGAACUUAAGGAAGGAUAUUCACAUCUGUACGUAGAAGUACAAUUUAUAUUGGCAAUAUCAUUACUGCCAUUUCAGCGUCUCCCAGCAGGGCAGCAAGUAUGAAAAUCUUUUGUUAAAGUUGAACUGUUUGGAGGACAUUCACUGUACCAUUUCAGUUAGCAUUAAUGAAAAUUAUAUAUUCAGAUCACUGAAGGCCGCACUGCA
rnacentral:lncRNA from 1 species